UCUCCGUAGGUGAACCUGCGGAGGGAUCAUUACAGAGUUCAUGCCCUACCGGGUAGAUCUCCCACCCUAUGUUAUUAUUACUUUGUCGCUUUGGCGGGCCGUUAGGCUCCGGCCCGACUACCGGCCCCGGCUGGUAAGCGGCCGCCAGAGGACCCAAAACCCUGAAUAUUAGUGUCGUCUGAGUACUAUAUAAUAGUUAAAACUUUCAACAACGGAUCUCUUGGUUCUG
rnacentral:misc_RNA from 1 species